CUCUUCUUGAAUGAAUAAGAAGUAGGAUCUGCUCCAUGCGUUUAGUAAAUUGCCGCAGUAUUUUGACUGUGCUAAGGUAGCAAAAUAAUUUGGCUCUUAAUUGGGGUCUGGAAUGAAUGAUUUGACAAAGUCUAUUCUGUCUCAUCUAUUGAAAUAGAAAUUGGAUUGUUUGUAAAAAUACAAACAUAAGAAAGAGGGACGAAAAGACCCUAUAGAUCUUUACUUUUCUUAUUAUUAAAAUCAAUUGUAGUUUAAAAUGAGUAAAGUUUGCUUGGGAUAAGACUAAAAAUGAAUUUUGGUAGGAGGAAAAGAUAGAUUAGUCAAUUAGAUGAUUGAGAUGAAAGAUAAGUUACCUUAGGGAUAACAGGAUAAUUUCUUUAUCUAGGACUUAUAGAUAAAGAAGUUUAUUACCUCGAUGUUGAAUUAAGUUGCCUCUCAUUUGAAGAAGAAUGAGUAGUUAGUCUGUUCGACUAUUAAAAACUU
rnacentral:rRNA from 2 species